rnacentral:rRNA from 1 species
AGACGUAGGGGGCGAGCGUUGUCCGGAAUUACUGGGCGUAAAGAGCACGUAGGCGGGUUAGAAAGUCAGAUGUGAAAGACCGAGGCUCAACCACGGGAUUGCAUCUGAAACUUUUAAUCUUGAGGGCAGGAGAGGAAAGUGGAAUUCCUGGUGUAGCGGUGAAAUGCGUAGAAAUCAGGAGGAAUACCAGUGGCGAAGGCGACUUUCUGGACUGACCCUGACGCUGAGGUGCGAAAGCGUGGGUAGCAAACAGGAUUAGAUACCCUGGUAGUCCACGCUGUAAACGAUGGAUACUAGGUGUGGGAGGUAUCGACCCCUUCCGUGCCGCAGCUAACGCAAUAAGUAUCCCGCCUGGGGAGUACGGUCGCAAGGCUGAA